rnacentral:rRNA from 1 species
UACGGAGGGGGCUAGCGUUGUUCGGAAUUACUGGGCGUAAAGCGCACGUAGGCGGCUUUGUAAGUUAGAGGUGUAAGCCCGGGGCUCAACUCCGGAAUUGCCUUUAAGACUGCAUCGCUAGAAUUGUGGAGAGGUAAGUGGAAUUCCGAGUGUAGAGGUGAAAUUCGUAGAUAUUCGGAAGAACACCGGUGGCGAAGGCGGCCUGCUGGGCAGUAGCUGACGCUGAUGCGCGACAGCGUGGGGAGCAAACAGG